rnacentral:rRNA from 1 species
AUAGGUUAAUGAGGCGAACCGGGGGAACUGAAACAUCUAAGUACCCCGAGGAAAAGAAAUCAACCGAGAUUCCCCCAGUAGCGGCGAGCGAACGGGGAGGAGCCCAGAGCCUGAAUCAGUGUGUGUGUUAGUGGAAGCGUCUGGAAAGGCGCGCGAUACAGGGUGACAGCCCCGUACACAAAAAUGCACAUAUUGUGAGCUCGAUGAGUAGGGCGGGACACGUGGUAUCCUGUCUGAAUAUGGGGGGACCAUCCUCCAAGGCUAAAUACUCCUGACUGACCGAUAGUGAACCAGUACCGUGAGGGAAAGGCGAAAAGAACCCCGGCGAGGGGAGUGAAAAAGAACCUGAAACCGUGUACGUACAAGCAGUGGGAGCCUCUUAAUGGGGUGACUGCGUACCUUUUGUAUAAUGGGUCAGCGACUUAUAUUCUGUAGCAAGGUUAACCGAAUAGGGGAGCCGAAGGGAAACCGAGUCUUAACUGGGCGUUAAGUUGCAGGGUAUAGACCCGAAACCCGGUGAUCUAGCCAUGGGCAGGUUGAAGGUUGGGUAACACUAACUGGAGGACCGAACCGACUAAUGUUGAAAAAUUAGCGGAUGACUUGUGGCUGGGGGUGAAAGGCCAAUCAAACCGGGAGAUAGCUGGUUCUCCCCGAAAGCUAUUUAGGUAGCGCCUCGUGAAUUCAUCUCCGGGGGUAGAGCACUGUUUCGGCAAGGGGGUCAUCCCGACUUACCAACCCGAUGCAAACUGCGAAUACCGGAGAAUGUUAUCACGGGAGACACACGGCGGGUGCUAACGUCCGUCGUGAAGAGGGAAACAACCCAGACCGCCAGCUAAGGUCCCAAAGUCAUGGUUAAGUGGGAAACGAUGUGGGAAGGCCCAGACAGCCAGGAUGUUGGCUUAGAAGCAGCCAUCAUUUAAAGAAAGCGUAAUAGCUCACUGGUCGAGUCGGCCUGCGCGGAAGAUGUAACGGGGCUAAACCAUGCACCGAAGCUGCGGCAGCGACGCUUAUGCGUUGUUGGGUAGGGGAGCGUUCUGUAAGCCUGUGAAGGUGUGCUGUGAGGCAUGCUGGAGGUAUCAGAAGUGCGAAUGCUGACAUAAGUAACGAUAAAGCGGGUGAAAAGCCCGCUCGCCGGAAGACCAAGGGUUCCUGUCCAACGU